rnacentral:lncRNA from 1 species
CUUUGCGCGCCUACCCGGCGGUCGUGGGUUGAGGUGGGGGGGUCAAGAAUUGUUGUCUAGCAGCCCUCUCCCCGCUGCCCUGUCCUGGCCGAGGCAAAGGCCGCGUGCGCUCCGCGUCUGCCAGGCUUUAGGGCUGCGCGGACACUGGGUGGGUGGUGGGCCGAGGCAACCGGAAGGUCCUGGCCGCCUUUCCGGUCUCCUCAGCACCCUGGAGCGCCGCCCUCGGGUUUCAGUCUCCUGGAUCUGCGGGUCGGUCUCGGCGGGCGGAUUACUCCUCGCCCACAACCUCGAGGCCCCGGGGUCAACCGCGCCCUCCGGGCGGGCAACCCAGGGUUUAGUCAGAUUCCUCCUGACCCACCGCUUCUGGGAAAGAGGCGCCUCCCGUCAGGAGGAUGCUGAGUUCCUCAUGACUGGACCAGUGAGUGUCCACUCCCUGGUCCCUGGCGGGAGAGGCGGGACCCCCACGCCCUCCUGGCGCUCUUUGCAGAGAUGUUCCUCAGGCCCAAUCCGGGAUUUGGGAUGUCUGUGCGUGCUGUGGAGCGGAGAGUUUGCAACAUGGUCUCACUUUGUCACCCAGGCUGGAAUGCAUUGGCAUGAACACGUCUCACUGCAGCCUCAACCUCCCAGGCUGAAGUGACCCUCCAACUCUGCUUUCACAGUAGCUGUGAUAUGGUUUGGCUGUGUCCCCACCCACAUCUCAUCUUAAAACCCAGUGGGAGGUAAUUGAAUCAUGGGGACAAGUCUUUCCUGUGCUGUUCUUGUGAUAGUGAAUAAGUCUCAUGAGAUCUGAUGGUUUUUAAAAGAGUUCUGGCUGGGCAUGGUGGUGGGCACCUGUAAUCCAAACUACUAGGGAGGCUGAGGCAGAGUGAAUUGCUUGAACCUGGGAGAAGGAGGUUGCAGUGAGCUGAGAUUGCACCGCUGCACUCCAGCCUGGGCAACAUUGGAGACUCUGUCUCCAAAAAAAAAAAAAAGGAGUUCCUCUGCACAAGCUCUCUCUCUUUGCCUGCUGCCAUCCAUGUAAGAUGUGACUUGCUCUUCCUUGCCCUCACUAUGAUUGUGAGUCUUUCCCCAGCCAUGUGGAACUGUAAGUCCAAAUAAACCUCUUUCUUUUGUAAAUUGCCCAGUCUUGGGUAUGUCUAUCAGCAGCAUGGAAAUGGACUAAUACAGUAAAUUGGUACCAGUAGAGUGGGGUGUUGCUGAAAAGAUACCUGAAAAUGUGAAAGUGACUUUGGAACUGGGUAGCAGGCAAACAUUGGAACAGUUUGGAGGGCUCAGAAGAAGACAGGAAAAUGUAGGAAAGUUUGGAACUUCCUAGAGACUUGUUGAAUGGCAUUGACAAAAAUGCUAAUAGUGAUACGAACAAUAAGAUCCAGUCUGAGGUGGUCUCAGAUGGAGAUGAGGAACUUGUUGGGAACUGGAGCAAAGGUGACUCUUGUUAUGUUUUAGCAAAGAGACUGGUGACAUUUUGCCCCUGCCUGAGAGAUUUGUGGGACUUUGAACUUGAGGGAGAUGAUUUAGGGUAUCUGGUGGAAGACAUUUCUUUUUUUUUUUUUUUUUGUGACGGAGUCUUGCACUGUCGCCCGGGGUGGAGUGCAAUGGUCUGAUCUCAGCUUACUGGGUUCAAGCAAUUCUGUCUCAGCCUCCCGAGUAGCUGGGAUUACAGGCG